rnacentral:rRNA from 1 species
AACUUUCCAGAGAUGGAUUGGUGCCUUCGGGAACUGUGAGACAGGUGCUGCAUGGCUGUCGUCAGCUCGUGUUGUGAAAUGUUGGGUUAAGUCCCGCAACGAGCGCAACCCUUAUCCUUUGUUGCCAGCGGUCCGGCCGGGAACUCAAAGGAGACUGCCAGUGAUAAACUGGAGGAAGGUGGGGAUGACGUCAAGUCAUCAUGGCCCUUACGACCAGGGCUACACACGUGCUACAAUGGCGCAUACAAAGAGAAGCGACCUCGCGAGAGCAAGCGGACCUCAUAAAGUGCGUCGUAGUCCGGAUUGGAGUCUGCAACUCGACUCCAUGAAGUCGGAAUCGCUAGUAAUCGUGGAUCAGAAUGCCACGGUGAAUACGUUCCCGGGCCUUGUACACACCGCCCGUCACACCAUGGGAGUGGGUUGCAAAAGAAGUAGGUAGCUUAACCUUCGGGAGGGCGCUUACCACUUUGUGAUUCAUGACUGGGGUGAAGUCGUAACAAGGUAGGCGUAGCGAG